CCUCGAGCUACGUUUCACGUACAUGUACAAAAAUCGGUACACACAUGUAACACACCAAUACCUACAAAAAAGUCUCUUGGUACGAAAUUCGAAUCCCAACAGGAAGUCAGUUAUUUUGAAUUUUCUCUGCAAAAUUUGUGUCGUUUUUGCCAUUUUCAGGGGUUGUACUUUAACGAACUCCUCCUAGAGAUUUAUUCAGAUCAACACCAAACUUUGACUGUGUAAUCUAAAGGCCUUUGCGAUGUUAAAUUGCGAAGAUCUUGAGGUUUCGUUUAAGGGCGUGUCUGUGGCGGCCUUACAAAUUUCGAUGUUUCGCCAUGAGAAAGGAAGUUGCUAUAACUCAGACAUACAAUGUCCAAUCUGCCCCAAACUUCACAUGUUUGAGAAGACUCCUGACCUGAAUAUAUCUACAUGCCAAUAUUCAGAUAUCGCUAUAGGGCCACCUGCUGGCAACAGGAAGUGACAUGUUUUACGCCGUAACAAACUACUCCUAGAUAUUUUAUGACAUUUUAUAAUUUUUUUUGGUCAGUCUAAUCUAAAGGCCUUUGCGAUGUUAAAUUGUGAACAUCUUGAGGUUUCAUUAAAGGGUGUGGCCAUGGCGCCGUGACAAAGUUUGAUGUCUCGCCAUGGGAAUAGAAGUUGUUGUAACUCAGGCAUAAGAUGUCCGAUCUUCCCCAAACUUCACAUGUUCGAAAAGAGUCUUGGCCUGAACACAUCUGAAGGUCAUUAUUCCACUAUAAUCAUAGCGCCACCUGCUGACAACAGAAAAUGGCUUGUUUUACACUAACUUAAACAUGCAAUGUCCAAUCUGCACCAAACUUCAAAUAUUUGAUAAGAGUCAUGGCCUGAAGAUAUCUAAAGGCCAAUGUUGAGUUAUAAUCAUAGCGCCACCUGUUGGCAAUAGGACACAACAUGCUUUAUACUAACUCAAACAUUCCAUGUUCAAUCUGCACUAAAUUUCAUAUGCUUGAUAAAAGUGCUGGACUGAAGAAAUCUACAUGACAAAAUCCAGUUAUAGUCAUAGAGCCACCAGCUGGCAGCAGGAAGAUUGGCACAUAUAAAUGACUUUGACAUAUUCCUCUAAUAUUUACCACAUUAAACGCAUAUUUCUCGCCGUUCGCUGUUUUACAAAAGCCACCCGGUGGUGGUGAGCCCGGGUGCGAGGGCCCGUUCAUCGCUGCUUGCAGCUUUAAUUAGGGCCCGAGCACCGAUGGUGUGAGGACCCUCUUGUAUCUGCUUUGUUUAUUAUUAUUCUUCUUCUUCUUCUUCUUCUUCUUCUUCUUCUUCUCCAAAAUGAAUCGCAUUUUUGAGGGCCUAAACAUGCUCGAAAAGUCCUGAAACUUUGCACACACGUCAGACCUGGUGAAAAUUUACGUCUGAUAUAGGUUUCAGAAGAGGGUGUGGCAAAAUGGCUCGACAGCGCCACCUAUCGUAAAAAAAUCAACAGCCCUCGAGCUGUGUUUCACGUACAUGCACGAAAAUUGGCACACAUAUGUAAAGCAUCAGUACCUACAAAAAAGACUCUUGGAGCAAUAUCCGAAACCCAACAGGAAGUCGGUUAUUUUAAAUUUUAUGAGCAAAUUUUGCAUCAUUUUUGUCAUUUCCAUGCCUUGUAUUUUAACG
ensembl:lncRNA